AGGACGAACGCUGGCGGCGUGCUUAACACAUGCAAGUCGAGCGGAAAGGCCCUUCGGGGUACUCGAGCGGCGAACGGGUGAGUAACACGUGAGCAACCUGCCCUUAGCUUCGGGAUAGCUCCGGGAAACCGGAAUUAAUACCGGAUAUGACUAUGGCCGACAUCAGCCAUGGUGGAAAGUUUUUCGGCUAGGGAUGGACUCGCGGCCUAUCAGCUAGUUGGUGAGGUAACGGCUCACCAAGGCGACGACGGGUAGCAGGCCUGAGAGGGCGACCGGCCACACUGGGACUGAGACACGGCCCAGACUCCUACGGGAGGCAGCAGUGGGGAAUAUUGCGCAAUGGGCGAAAGCCUGACGCAGCGACGCCGCGUGGGGGAUGAAUGCCUUCGGGUUGUAACCCCUUUCAGCAGGGACGAAGCGAAAGUGACGGUACCUGCAGAAGAAGCGCCGGCUAACUACGUGCCAGCAGCCGCGGUAA
rnacentral:rRNA from 1 species